CGCGGCCUAUCAGCUUGUUGGUGGGGUAACGGCCUACCAAGGCAACGACGGGUAGCUGGAUUGAGAGAUCGACCAGCCACACUGGAACUGAGACACGGUCCAGACUCCUACGGGAGGCAGCAGUGGGGAAUCUUGCGCAAUGGGCGAAAGCCUGACGCAGCAACGCCGCGUGCGGGAUGAAGGCCUUCGUGGUUGUAAACCGCUUUCAGUAGGGACGAAAAUGACGGUACCUGCAGAAGAAGCUCCGGCUAACUACGUGCCAGCAGCCGCGGUAAUACGUAGGGGGCGAGCGUUGUCCGGAUUCAUUGGGCGUAAAGAGCUCGUAGGCGGUUCAGUAAGUCAGGUGUGAAAGCUCCGAGCUCAACUCGGAGACGCCAUCUGAUACUGCUGUGACUAGAAUCCAGUAGGGGAGUGUGGAACUCCUGGUGUAGCGGUGGAAUGCGCGGAUAUCAGGAAGAACACCAGCGGCGAAGGCGGCACUCUGGGCUGGUAUUGACGCUGAGGAGCGAAAGUGUGGGUAGCAAACAGGAUUAGAUACCCUGGUAGUCCAAACCGUAAACGUUGGGCACUAGGUGUGGGGAGGAAUCAACCCUCUCCGUGCCGUAGCUAACGCAUUAAGUGCCCCGCCUGGGGAGUACGGA
rnacentral:rRNA from 1 species